rnacentral:rRNA from 1 species
UACGGAGGAUGCAAGCGUUAUCCGGAUUUAUUGGGUUUAAAGGGUGCGCAGGUUGUUUGAUAAGUCAGUGGUGAAAGUCUGUCGCUUAACGGUAGGAUUGCCAUUGAUACUGUUGGACUUGAAUAUGGAUGAGGUAGGCGGAAUGUGUAGUGUAGCGGUGAAAUGCAUAGAUAUUACACAGAACACCGAUUGCGAAGGCAGCUUACUAAUCCAUCAUUGAUGCUGAGGCACGAAAGCGUGGGGAUCAAA